UACGUAGGGGGCUAGCGUUGUCCGGAUUUAUUGGGCGUAAAGAGCGUGUAGGCGGCCAGGUAGGUCUGCUGUGAAAACUCGAGGCUUAACCUCGAGAUGUCGGCGGAAACCAUCUGGCUAGAGUCCGGAAGAGGAGAGCGGAAUUCCUGGUGUAGCGGUGAAAUGCGCAGAUAUCGGGAGGAACACCAGUGGCGAAGGCGACUACCUGGCCUGUUCUUGACGCUGAGGCGCGAAAGCUAGGGGAGCAAACGGG
rnacentral:rRNA from 1 species